CCGGCUUCAGGUUCGGGCCGGGCCGCGAGCGCCCCCCGCACGCAGUGCCCGCAGUGUCUGAGGAGACACCCGCGCGGCGGCAGAGAACAUCUGGAACCCAGAGGAGAAUUCAAUGGCCAUAUAUACAGAGAACAUCUGGAACCCAGGGGAAAAUACAAUGACUAUAUGAACAAUGUGCAUCCUAAUGUUGUUUGAAAUUUGAAUUGUGUUUGGGAUUUGGGAUUAAGCUUUUCAUACUUUCAUCUUUUGGCCCUGGUUGGAUGUGGAUGAACUACUCAUAAAAGAAAAAGCAGAUAUUCUUUAUUUGAAACAAUACAAAUCAAAUAAAACUAGCAGUAGAUAUUCCAAUGUUGUAGGAUGGAUGAGCUAAACAUGAGAGCAAAGUCUCAUAGAGACAGAAUUGGCUAUAGAGAAGACUGCUCUGUCAUUUUUUUCUUUCAAAAUAUACACAAAGGGGUAUUUAAGUUAGCCGGUAAUAUAGUUUUAUAAAAACAAGGAUGGAAUUCAAUAUGUGCUGUACCAAAUUCCCAGCUGUUCAAGGAUAGUGAUAAAAACUAAAAGAGAAGGCUAAGAUAAAUUCUAUUAUACAAAUACAUUUUAUUUUCAAAAUUGCAAUGCAUCAAAAUAAAGAACAACAACUGUAAUUCUUAGCAGAGGUGGUUGGUUGGUUGGUUGGUUGGUUGUUUUAGGGCCUGUAAUUUUAAAUUUAGUCUAACAUCAAUUAGUUUUGUAGCUCAUAUUAUUUAUGUAGCUCUAUGUGAGGUCUCUGUCAAGGCUUCUAAAAUAAGUGCAACUUAUUAGUCUGUUAAGGUAAUCAUAGUAUGCUCUUGUCUGUGGUUUGCAUCAUGUCCAUAAAGAGAUUUUUUUUUCCAGUGCUGGGUGUACUCUAGGACAAGAUGAUUAAAAUUAAAUCUUAUUUUAGUAAUUCUA